rnacentral:rRNA from 1 species
GCAGUCGCCGCGGUAAUACGGAGGAUCCAAGCGUUAUCCGGAAUCAUUGGGUUUAAAGGGUCCGUAGGCGGUCUUGUAAGUCAGUGGUGAAAGCCCAUCGCUCAACGGUGGAACGGCCAUUGAUACUGCAGGACUUGAAUUAUUGGGAAGUAACUAGAAUAUGUAGUGUAGCGGUGAAAUGCUUAGAGAUUACAUGGAAUACCAAUUGCGAAGGCAGGUUACUACCAAUUGAUUGACGCUGAUGGACGAAAGCGUGGGUAGCGAACAGGAUUAGAUACCCGGGUAGUCCCUGUCUCUUAUAC